GACGACCGGCCGGACACUCAUGUGUACGGCCCACAAGUGGAGGCUCCGAACUCCCACCUGACCGUCCUCACGGACGGUGGGUCAUCCGGUCAGGCGGCCACCAUCGUUCCGUACGGACGAUGGAGCCGCCCGAAUCGCGCCCCGCGACAUCGCGGCGGUGCUCCGGUUGUGUUGUGGAGCCCCGCCUGUGAUCGUCCGGGGCAUUUUCU
rnacentral:ncRNA from 1 species